AUUGAACGCUGGCGGCAGGCCUAACACAUGCAAGUCGAGCGAGCGGCGGACGGGUGAGUAAUGUCUGGGAAACUGCCUGAUGGAGGGGGAUAACUACUGGAAACGGUAGCUAUUACCGCAUACCAUCAAAUGUGUCCAGAUGGGGUUAGCUGGUUGGUGGGGUAACGGCUCACCUAGGCGACGCUCCCUAGCUGGUCUGAGAGGAUGACCAGCCACACUGGAACUGAGACACGGUCCAGACUCCUACGGGAGGCAGCAGUGGGGAAUAUUGCACAAUGGGCGCAAGCCUGAUGCAGCCAUGCCGCGUGUGUGAAGAAGGCCUUCGGGUUGUAAAGCACUUUCAGCGGGGAGGCGUUACCCGCAGAAGAAGCACCGGCUAACUCCGUGCCAGCAGCCGCGGUAAUUC
rnacentral:rRNA from 1 species